rnacentral:rRNA from 1 species
GUGGGGAAUCUUGCGCAAUGGGCGAAAGCCUGACGCAGCAACGCCGCGUGGGGGACGAAGGCUCUCGGGUUGUAAACCCCUUUCAGCAGGAACGAAAUUGACGGUACCUGCAGAAGAAGCCCCGGCCAACUACGUGCCAGCAGCCGCGGUAAUACGUAGGGGGCGAGCGUUGUCCGGAUUUAUUGGGCGUAAAGAGCUCGUAGGCGGUUUGGUAAGUCGGGUGUGAAAACCCCAGGCUCAACCUGGGGACGCCACCUGAUACUGCUAUGACUUGAGUCUGGUAGGGGACCACGGAAUUCCUGGUGUAGCGGUGAAAUGCGCAGAUAUCAGGAGGAACACCGGUGGCGAAGGCGGUGGUCUGGGCCAGUACUGACGCUGAGGAGCGAAAGCGUGGGUAGCAAACAGGAUUAGAAACCCCGGUAGUCC